rnacentral:rRNA from 1 species
GUGGGGAAUAUUGGGCAAUGGAGGCAACUCUGACCCAGCCAUGCCGCGUGCAGGAUGACGGCCCUCUGGGUUGUAAACUGCUUUUAUACGGGAAGAAAAAAUACUACGUGUAGUAUACUGACGGUACCGUAAGAAUAAGGAUCGGCUAACUCCGUGCCAGCAGCCGCGGUAAUACGGAGGAUCCAAGCGUUGUCCGGAUUUAUUGGGUUUAAAGGGUGCGUAGGCGGAUCUUUAAGUCAGUGGUGAAAGCCUGCAGCUUAACUGUAGAAUUGCAAUUGAAACUGAAGAUCUUGAAUGUGGUUAAAGUAGGCGGAAUGUAUCAUGUAGCGGUGAAAUGCUUAGAUAUGAUACAGAACACCGAUAGCGAAGGCAGCUUGCUGAACCAUUAUUGACGCUGAGGCACGAAAGCGUGGGGAGCGAACAGGAUUAGAAACCCUGGUAGUCC